rnacentral:rRNA from 1 species
CCUACGGGAGGCAGCAGUGAGGAAUAUUGGUCAAUGGACGCAAGUCUGAACCAGCCAUGCCGCGUGCAGGAAGACGGCUCUAUGAGUUGUAAACUGCUUUUGUACGAGGGUAAACGCAGAUACGCGUAUCUGUCUGAAAGUAUCGUACGAAUACGGAUCGGCUAACUCUGUGCCAGCAGCCGGGGUAAUACGGAGGAUUCAAGCGUUAACCGCAUUUACUGGGGUUAAAGGGUGCGUAGGCGGUAUGGCAAGUCAGAUGUGAAAUCCUAAGGCUUAACUAUAGAACUGCCUCUGAUACUGUUAGUCUAGAGUAUAGUAGCGGUAGGUGGAAUGUAUGGUGUAGGGGUGAAAUCCGUAGAGAUCA